CCAGCAUAUAAAGAAAAUAAAUGGCAUGGCUCAACUAAAGUGAACUCAAUUUGGCAAAGUUGGUUUGGAUUGUGUUCUUGGGAUUGGAGGCUUUGAGUUGGAGAGGAUUGAGAGUACAGUUCAUGCAGAGGACUCAAAGGAAGAUCAUGAAGAUCAUACAAGUCAUGAUCAUGAUCAUGACCAUCAUCAUCAUGAACAUGAGCAUAAACACAAUAA